rnacentral:lncRNA from 1 species
CCUCGGUUCCACACAUUUCUACUGCAUUGCGCUAAAUCAGGGUCACACAGAGUGUUUCUUGGUAGUCUUAAACAAAUCUCCUUUGAAACUAAAAUUCACACCUCAUACACAUGGUAAUGGGCUUAAAAAACAAAGACCCCUGUACCAUGUCACGUAGGAGUUGAAAUGUAUUACAUUCUGACAUUGCAUGCCAUUAUGUUAUUUUAAUUUUAAUUAAUUCUGAAAAAUAUGAAUAACAUUCAAGGGCUACUGUCAUUAAUUAUGUUGCCUUCACAUUCACAACAUAGCCCUGUGACCCCUGUCUCUGCAGGACACUUUGGUGGUGGUGUCCAGUCCUACUUCAUGUUCCUGCGCUUCCUGGUGGUGCUCAACUUCCUGUUGUUUUUGCUGAUUGCUGGGUUCGUCCUCAUCUCCAGUAUCGUGUUCAGAUGCACCAGUAAUAUGACAGUGGACAGCACUGAGGUGCUGCCGGCAGUUACAGCAAGAUGGUGUUCACUGGCUGGGACUACGGUUGCCAGGGAGACCGGGCCACCAAACUCAAACAGAAAAGCAUCCACUACCAGCUACAGGAGGAGCUUUCUUUGGCAUCUUCAAGGCUACUGUCUUUAGCCAGUGUGGUGCUGUGUUACAUAGCAGCUCUAGCCGCAGUCUAUGGGAAGAGUGUUGAUCUGCUAAAGGCCCAGCUUAAACUGGUAAGUGAUGGAUGGGGAGAAGUCUUACAUGACAUGAUAAUGAUGCAAAAAAUAUAUGUUUGAAACAAAACAAUGUCUAUGGCCCAUACUCAAGCUUAACCUUGUAUAACAGUGUGUUUAACUCUAACAGGAGGGACGUGAUAAGCAGUUCCUGGUCAAGCAGAUUGAAGAGCUGAGUAGAGAGAUGGGGGUUCCAACAAGGGACCAAUUGGACACAUUUGACACUGGUGCAGCAAACUGACUCAGACACCAGGCUCAAACCCACGGCCCAUAUCCCGGCCCAAGGCACUUCUUGCAGAUUUGAAAGGCUUAGAUAGGUUUUGCAUGUGGCAAUAGCACAAAGCACAUAUCUACACCUUCACAAAUCAAUUUACAAUUGUCACUCUCUAGUGUAGGAUAGCUACAUUUGAGGCAAAGUUGUACUUAUUAUGAGUGAGUGGUGGUUGUCUCACCUAGCUACGGUAUCUUAAGAUGAAUGCACCAACUGUAAAUCCAUCUGGAUAAGAGCUUCUGCUAAAUGACUAAUCUAAAUAAUCUAAUUUAGUUUGUUACCCUAUUUAUCUCUCAUAAUACCUGUAACGUCAAUUGCCAUGUUCAUUGCCUUUGCAUUCUCUUCCUCACCUCUUGCCUAAACAUCAGACUGUGACCGUGUUUACACAAUGGUUAUUCCGUGUGAAAGAAGUCGCCCUAAAAAAGAGGCAAGAGUCUCUACAAGCCAGAAUGUUGAAUACAAUUAUAUUUACACUUAUCGGUUGUCCGUCCUUUUGACGGUAGGAAGUGGAGAUAAAAUAUCCACAGGAAAGUAUUGUUUACCCGACUUUUUGCUGCGGCGGUAGGUUCUGUCGCUUGCAUUUUCAAUCUCCAGAGGCAUUGUUGCACAUUAUGUAAACAGUAGCCGAACAUUGUCGGCCGAAGCACGUUCCCUCGCAGUCAGCUGGGUGUGAUUUGUGGAACGUUCCAACAGGAAUCUGUUCCAAAAAGUUCGUAAAUAACAAGGUUGCCACCAAACAACGGAUACAAAAUUGUAUAGCGGCAGAAUAAGAUACCGGGUAGGGAGUGGGCUAUUUCAUUCAGUUUCGCACUCACCACGUUUAUUCCGAAAAAUGUCUGUCCUCACUCUGGUAGCCUAUGGACAAACAUUAAGAAUAAGCUACGUGGUGAGUUGAUGCCUAUUCGGCAGCUAGUUAAAUAGGUGAAUUUAUCGUGCUACGUUGAAAACAACAUUAUACUUUACGAAGUUUUUGGAACAGAUUGCUGUUGGAACGUUCCACAAAUUAUACCCACCCAUCAGCUAGAAGUGCUUGUGAAAUUUGCCAGUUGAUUGUGUGAGACAUCGUUCGGUCUGUGAUUCAGUUAAGCUCGGCCAUUACUUGCAUAUUGUGCAAGUGUUUGUCAUGUGCGAAUUGUGCCAGUACUGAAAAUACAAACGAAUAUGCAGACCAGUCCAGUGUAUUGAAAGUUAGGUUAACACUUCCCUGUUUACUUCCCAAAAUAAGAACACAAUCAGCGAACAACAGGUAAAGCAAGUUGAAAUAAAGAUUAUUCAACAUUCGGACUUGUAAUGGGAUUGUUCGGGAAUGCUGAACCUACACGUUCGAUACAAGAGUGUAAGUCUUUCACUCUCGGAUUCCAAGAGGCUACCUCUACCCCACCUUUAUAACAUUACAUGUGUUUAUUUUUCUAAAUUGAUUUAAAUAUUGUUUACAUAUAUGUUUAAUGUUCUUCAGUUUAACAAGUUCUCUCUCUCAUAUAUAUAUAUAUAUAUCUCUCUCAGUAUCUUGUGUAUGUAGAUCUCUGAAAUAAAUACAAAAUUAUAAGGAACAAAAUGCUAUUAUUAUUAUUUCUGUUAUGUGCAACGUGCGCCCUCUGCUGACCCGUGAGAGAACUUCUACAAAAUCGAUUUAGUUACGUAGACGUUAUGACGUAAUAAUAUUUUCGAGUGUAUGUUUCCGGUUGUGAUUGAAUAGCUCUUUUGUUGCUUGUUUACCUUUCAGAUGUGUUAAAUAUAUUUUCUUUGGUUUUAUGCAAAUAUUUUAUUCAUUCGGUAACAGCUGUACAAAACCCAGUGUCAGAAUUACAUCUCUGCAAUUGAAAUAGCUGUUAAAAUGUUGUUGUUUUUACAGGAAAUAGGUUAAGGCUAGCUAACGUUAGCUAGCUAGCGAACUGGAGUUACAGUAGAGACUGACUGAAUUGCAAACAACAGAAAUCAGGGCAUGUUACGUUUUUGACACA